CCACAGCGCCAUAUAGCUUCACAAACAGACAAGGAUGGCGAUCAAAUCCACGUAGCUGCAGAUACCGGUGAACAAAUCGAGUAUGAUGAACAAAUUAAUGCAUAUACAGGAACUCGUGAGCAGUUGGAGUUGGCCAUAAACGAAGGGGUUAAGAACUUCCACGUGCAGGAAAACAGACCUGAGGAUGACAGCGAGGAUGACAAUGAAGAUGACACUGAAGAUGACAAUGAAGAGCCUCUGCCAUGGAAGCUGUUCUUGUUCAACAUUGACACUUUUAAGAUCCCAAUUCAGGACAGAGAAAGGCACACUACCGAAGAACUGGAAGACGUCACAGAACCGUCCUUGCCAGGCAGUUCUCCUGUCAACAAUGCAAAACUGGUGCCUAAAACAAAGAAGCGCGGACUUGGAAGAAGACUGUUGAAGUUUCUGGGAGUGAAAUAAAACACCUGUGAAUGAGCAUGAAUACAAUGCAAAUCCUUUUUAAGUUUUCUGUGUUAUAUCUAAAAAGUUUG